UUUAUUGGAACACGUUGAAUUGAACAUGUCCAAUUUUGCCUUGAACUCUUUCGAACGUAGCACUCAGACACGGAGCAUCAGCAGAUCAGAGUGUUUACAUACUACCGUGACCACAGAGGGAAACUUAUAAAUGUGGUAGCUCGCUGGCCUGGAGCCACACAUGACUCCCACAUCUUCAAGGAGAGCAAAAUCGGAGGGUAGUUGUAAAACAAGAAACACAGAAACGAAACAGAAACACAGAAACGCAGAAACGAAACGCAGAAACGAAAAUCAAACGGGUUUUCAUAAAAGUUGGAAUCAAGCGGCACGCCGAUACUUUCCUUGCCCAAUCCGUUGUUAUUGUCGUUUAAAAGUAAAAUCUCAGGUUGGUGGAUUGCGGCCAGCCGGAAUGCAAUAGAGUUGUUGAGGGGA